AAAUCUGUAAAGGUAUCCUCUCUAUCUGCAUGUCAGGUGACUGCUUGCGCAUUUCCAUGCUACAUGCCUCCAGCUACCGAACAUCACCACUUGGUCCUUCUUAAUGAGCAAGAUGGAACACCAUGCAUGCAUGGCUACUGCUUUAAUGGUCAGUGCCUUACAGAAGAAGGUCAUCAUGGUCUCAAGCGCUGGAAGCGGUCUGUGAGGUCAUUCGCAACGGGGUAUGUUCUAGGAAGAACCGUGGGAAGAGCGCAAGGCCGUCGACUUAGUAGGCGGCGUGGAUUGACGGGCCGGCGCUGAAUCCGGUGACGCCGUCUCACUACUAUUGCCUGAAAGAUUAUCAGGUAUAAUUAAACAGAGGUCGUCAUCCGGUGUGAGAA